rfam:Triticum urartu cultivar G1812 contig1055958, whole genome shotgun sequence.
CAGAUACUCCCUCUGUCCCAAAAUUCUUAACUUUGAUUCGUCUAUAUACGGAUGUAUUUAUUCACAUUUUAGUGUUAGAUACAUCCGUAUCUAGAUAAAUCAAGAAUUGUGGGACGGAGGGAGUAUGAU